rnacentral:rRNA from 1 species
GACGAACGCUGGCGGCGUGCUUAACACAUGCAAGUCGAACGGAAAGGCCCUCUUUUGGGGUGGUCGUCGGGCGACCGAGGGAGGAGUAAGAGGUUAAUAUCCUCUCGUCUAUUGUGGGACUACAUGAAACAGCGGGUGAUAACACCUGGGAGGACCUGCUGCUUCGUGGGGGGUGGUGGAUAUCUUCGGCGGUUGGUGGUGUACUCGCGGCUUAUCAGCUUGUUGGUGGGGUAGUGGCUUACCAAGGCUUUGACGGGUAGCCGGCCUGAGAGGGUGACCGGCCACAUUGGGACUGAGAUACGGCCCAGACUCCUACGGGAGGCAGCAGUGGGGAAUAUUGCACAAUGGGCGGAAGCCUGAUGCAGCAACGCCGCGUGCGGGAUGACGGCCUUCGGGUUGUAAACCGCUUUCGCCUGUGACGAAGCGUGAGUGACGGUAAUGGGUAAAGAAGCACCGGCUAACUACGUG